rnacentral:ncRNA from 1 species
CCAUAGUAAUACCGUGACGGUUUCCGGAACGAAGGUUCCGGAAUCAAAAGGGAACCCGGUGCGAAUCCGGGACUGCCCCGCAGCGGUAAAAGAGAACGACCGCCAUCAUACGCACUGGGCGAUAGUAUCCUGGGAAGCGAUGGCUAGUAGGAAUUAUUCUUUUCGGUUCCAGUUCCGGAGAGAAGAGAAAGGCUCAAAAGUCCGAAGACCUGCCGUCUCUAUCCGUGCUUGG